rnacentral:rRNA from 1 species
UACGUAGGGUCCGAGCGUUGUCCGGAAUUAUUGGGCGUAAAGAGCUCGUAGGCGGUUUGUCGCGUCUGCUGUGAAAUCCCGAGGCUCAACCUCGGGCCUGCAGUGGGUACGGGCAGACUGGGGUGCGGUAGGGGAGAAUGGAAUUCCUGGUGUAGCGGUGGAAUGCGCAGAUAUCAGGAGGAACACCGAUGGCGAAGGCAGUUCUCUGGGCCGUAACUGACGCUGAGGAGCGAAAGCGUGGGGAGCGAACAGG